AAGUCGUAACAAGGUUUCCGUAGGUGAACCUGCGGAAGGAUCAUUAUCGAAUAAACUUGAACAGGCUGUUUUGCUGGCCCCCCUCGUGGGGUAAGUGCACGCUUGUCAUCUUUGUUUCUCCCAACUGUGCACAUAUUGUAGACCCUGGAUUGAGGAUUGCCAUGUGGGCUUUCCUUGCAUUUUUCUCCAGGUCUACGUUGUUUUCACAAUCUCUGAAUGUCGUUAGAAUGUUUGUUGGAAAUAUAUAUAUACAACUUUCAGCAAUGGAUCUCUUGGCUCUCGCAUCGAUGAAGAACGCAGCGAAAUGCGAUAAGUAAUGUGAAUUGCAGAAGUCAGUGAAUCAUCGAAUCUUUGAACGCAUCUUGCGCUCCUUGGUAUUCCGAGGAGCAUGCCUGUUUGAGUGUCAUCAAGUUCUCAACUGCGCCAAUCUUUUUUGGUGUGGCUUUGGAUAUGGGGGGAUUUGUUUUGCAGGCUUUUAAAGUCUGCUCCCCUGAAAUGUAUUAGUGGUAUCUGAGCAGGGACUACUACUACAGGUGUGAUAAAUCUAUCUAUGCCUUGGUAUGACCGCUACACCACUUCUAACAGUGCCUUUGACAAAUUUGACCUCAAAUCAGGUAGGACUACCCGCUGAACUUAAGCAUAUCAAUAAGCGGAGGAAAAGAAACUAACAAGGAUUCCCCUAGUAACUGCGAGUGAAGCGGGAAAAGCUCAAAUUUAAAAUCUGGCGGUUUCUGGACUGUCCGAGUUGUAAUCUAGAGAAGUGUUUACCUGUGCUGGACCGUGUACAAGUCUCCCGGAAUGGAGCAUCAUAGAGGGUGAGAAUCCCGUCUUUGACACGGACUGCCUGUACAUUACGGGUGCGCUCUCGAAGAGUCGAGUUGUUUGGGAAUGCAGCUCAAAAUGGGUGGUAAAUGCCAUCUAAAGCUAAAUAUUGGCGAGAGACCGAUAGCGAACAAGUACCGUGAGGGAAAGAUGAAAAGAACUUUGGAAAGAGAGUUAAACAGUACGUGAAAUUGCUGAAAGGGAAACGCUUGAAGUCAGUCGCGUUGGCUGGAAAUCAGCCUUGCUUUUGCUUGGUGUAUUUUCUGGUCCGACGGGUCAGCAUCAAUUUUGACCAUUGGAUAAAGUCUUUUGGGAAUGUGGCAUCUUUUGGAUGUGUUAUAGCCCAUGGUCGCAUACAGUGGUUGGGAUUGAGGAACUCAGCACGCCGCAAGGCCGGGUUUCGACCACGUUUCCGUGCUUAGGAUGCUGGCAUAAUGGCUUUAAUCGACC
rnacentral:rRNA from 1 species